CAUGACGGUGAUGGGUCUAGCUUUUGGUUCAAGGGAAUUCAAUCUUUUAUGGAUUCUCUACCAUUCAUGAUCAUCACAUAGAUAUAAAAAUACAUAUACUUUUGUUUAAGAUUUGAUGUCUUUUUCAUCCUGGGUCUCACUCAGAAUUCAGGUUUCUUUGCUCAUCGUUUUCUGAUUUCUGCAGAUUUCAAAGCAAGAUUCUUCUAGAUUAAGAGAGACGUAUCUGGUGUCUUCUCAACUCUAAAUACCUUCAAUUUCCAAGGUUAUAGUGAUACCAGGAGUUCUUAUGUUCUGAAUCGGUUGUUGAAUUUCAAUGAGUUCGGUUAUGAGAAGGCUGCAAGUUUCUGAAUUUCAAAUGGACUUGUCCUCUAACAGUAAGCUUCCAAGGUCAAUUGACUGCCAGCCGAGUUCUCGAACAAGGAAAUUUAUUGCACUUGUCACUAUGGUUCUGUUCUCAGAGCUGUCUUGCUCUAUUCAUUCUCUGUUCCUUUUUUUUUUGUCACUAACAACUCUAACAAAGAAAGAGUUUUGUUUAUGACAUGUUAACAUGAACACUGGCAUUGGUAAUAGAAUCACAAACAGGGCAGUUGCCUACCAGAGUGGACCCACAAGCUGUACAGAGACAAAG